rnacentral:rRNA from 1 species
GUUAAUGAGGCGAACCGGGGGAACUGAAACAUCUAAGUACCCCGAGGAAAAGAAAUCAACCGAGAUUCCCCCAGUAGCGGCGAGCGAACGGGGAGCAGCCCAGAGCCUGAAUCAGUGUGUGUGUUAGUGGAAGCGUCUGGAAAGGCGCGCGAUACAGGGUGACAGCCCCGUACACAAAAAUGCACAUGCUGUGAGCUCGAUGAGUAGGGCGGGACACGUGGUAUCCUGUCUGAAUAUGGGGGGACCAUCCUCCAAGGCUAAAUACUCCUGACUGACCGAUAGUGAACCAGUACCGUGAGGGAAAGGCGAAAAGAACCCCGGCGAGGGGAGUGAAAAAGAACCUGAAACCGUGUACGU